UGAGGGAAAGGCGAAAAGAACCCCGGCGAGGGGAGUGAAAAAGAACCUGAAACCGUGUACGUACAAGCAGUGGGAGCACCCUUCGGGGUGUGACUGCGUACCUUUUGUAUAAUGGGUCAGCGACUUAUAUUCUGUAGCAAGGUUAACCGUAUAGGGGAGCCGGAGGGAAACCGAGUCUUAAUUGGGCGUUAAGUUGCAGGGUAUAGACCCGAAACCCGGUGAUCUAGCCAUGGGCAGGUUGAAGGUUGGGUAACACUAACUGGAGGACCGAACCGACUAAUGUUGAAAAAUUAGCGGAUGACCUGUGGCUGGGGGUGAAAGGCCAAUCAAACCGGGAGAUAGCUGGUUCUCCCCGAAAGCUAUUUAGGUAGCGCCUCGUGAAUUCAUCUCCGGGGGUAGAGCACUGUUUCGGCUAGGGGGCCAUCCCGGCUUACCAACCCGAUGCAAACUGCGAAUACCGGAGAAUGUUAUCACGGGAGACACACGGCGGGUGCUAACGUCCGUCGUGAAGAGGGAAACAACCCAGACCGCCAGCUAAGGUCCCAAAGUCAUGGUUAAGUGGGAAACGAUGUGGGAAGGCCCAGACAGCCAGGAUGUUGGCUUAGAAGCAGCCAUCAUUUAAAGAAAGCGUAAUAGCUCACUGGUCGAGUCGGCCUGCGCGGAAGAUGUAACGGGGCUAAACCAUGCACCGAAGCUGCGGCAGCGAACGUAUCACCCAAGACAACUUUACGGAGUUGACGAUUGACGGAGCGAAGCGACGUCAAAGCGUUCAUUAAAGUCGAGUUGGCUUAGGGAUACGUUCGUUGGGUAGGGGAGCGUUCUGUAAGCCUGUGAAGGUGUGUCGUGAGGCAUGCUGGAGGUAUCAGAAGUGCGAAUGCUGACAUAAGUAACGAUAAAGCGGGUGAAAAGCCCGCUCGCCGGAAGACCA
rnacentral:rRNA from 1 species